rnacentral:tRNA from 1 species
UGGGUGGUCGGGGUGGUCAUGCGCGUCUCCUUAGUGCGGGGGCAGGCGGGAGGGGCCGGGUUCAAGCCUCGCCACCUCGC